rnacentral:rRNA from 1 species
CCUACGGGGCGCAGCAGUGAGGAAUAUUGGUCAAUGGGCGGAAGCCUGAACCAGCCAAGUCGCGUGAGGGAAUAAGGCCCUACGGGUCGUAAACCUCUUUUGCCGGGGAGCAAGGGCGGGGACGUGUCCCGGCCCGGAGAGUACCCGGAGAAAAAGCAUCGGCUAACUCCGUGCCAGCAGCCGCGGUAAUACGGAGGAUGCGAGCGUUAUCCGGAUUUAUUGGGUUUAAAGGGUGCGUAGGCGGGCUUUUAAGUCAGCGGUAAAAAUUCGGGGCUCAACCCCGUCCGGCCGUUGAAACUGGGUGCCUUGAGUGGGCGAGAAGAAGGCGGAAUGCGUGGUGUAGCGGUGAAAUGCAUAGAUAUCGCGCAGAACCCCGAUUGCGAAGGCAGCGUGCCGUGCCGCCACUGACGCUGAGGCACGAAAGCGCGGGGAUCGAACAGGAUUAGAUACCCUUGUAGUC